rnacentral:rRNA from 1 species
GUGGGGAAUAUUGGACAAUGGGCGCAAGCCUGAUCCAGCCAUGCCGCGUGAGUGAUGAAGGCCCUAGGGUUGUUAAGCUCUUUCACCGGAGAAGAUAAUGACGGUAUCCGGAGAAGAAGCCCCGGCUAACUUCGUGCCAGCAGCCGCGGUAAUACGAAGGGGGCUAGCGUUGUUCGGAAUUACUGGGCGUAAAGCGCACGUAGGCGGAUAUUUAAGUCAGGGGUGAAAUCCCGGAGCUCAACUCCGGAACUGCCUUUGAUACUGGGUAUCUCGAGUAUGGAAGAGGUGAGUGGAAUUCCGAGUGUAGAGGUGAAAUUCGUAGAUAUUCGGAGGAACACCAGUGGCGAAGGCGGCUCACUGGUCCAUUACUGACGCUGAGGUGCGAAAGCGUGGGGAGCAAACAGGAUUAGAAACCCGUGUAGUCC